UAAUGCCGGAUGCUCCAGUUGAUCGCAUGGUCUUCUGGGAAAGCUUUCGCGGUAUGGGAUGGGGUCGCGUCCUAUCAGCUUGACGGCGGGGUAACGGCCCACCGUGGCUUCGACGGGUAGCCGGCCUGAGAGGGCGACCGGCCACAUUGGGACUGAGAUACGGCCCAGACUCCUACGGGAGGCAGCAGUGGGGAAUAUUGCACAAUGGGCGCAAGCCUGAUGCAGCGACGCCGCGUGAGGGAUGGAGGCCUUCGGGUUGUAAACCUCUUUUAUCGGGGAGCAAGCGAGAGUGAGUUUACCCGUUGAAUAAGCACCGGCUAACUACGUGCCAGCAGCCGCGGUAAUACGUAGGGUGCAAGCGUUAUCCGGAAUUAUUGGGCGUAAAGGGCUCGUAGGCGGUUCGUCGCGUCCGGUGUGAAAGUCCAUCGCUUAACGGUGGAUCCGCGCCGGGUACGGGCGGGCUUGAGUGCGGUAGGGGAGACUGGAAUUCCCGGUGUAACGGUGGAAUGUGUAGAUAUCGGAAAAGAACA
rnacentral:rRNA from 1 species